rnacentral:sRNA from 1 species
GCUGGGCACAGUGGUUCCUGCCUGUAAUCCCAGCAGCUUGGGAGGCUGAGGCAGGAGGACUGCAAGUUUGAGGCUAGCCUCAGCAACUUUGCAAGGCCCUAAGCAACUUAGCAAGACCCUAUCUCAA